AGGGCCAUUGCCGGCUCCUAUACAUGCAGUCGAACGAGUUCUGAUUAUUGAAAGGUGCUUGCAUCUUGAUUUAAUUUUGAACGAGUGGCGGACGGGUGAGUAACACGUGGGUAACCUGCCCUUAAGUGGGGGAUAACAUUUGGAAACAGAUGCUAAUACCGCAUAAAUCCAAGAACCGCAUGGUUCUUGGCUGAAAGAUGGCGUAAGCUAUCGCUUUUGGAUGGACCCGCGGCGUAUUAACUAGUUGGUGAGGUAACGGCUCACCAAGGCAAUGAUACGUAACCGAACUGAAAGGUUGAUCGGCCACAUUGGGACUGAAACACGGCCCAAACUCCUACGGGAGGCAGCAGUAGGGAAUCUUCCACAAUGGACGCAAGUCUGAUGGAGCAACGCCGCGUGAGUGAAAAAGGCUUUCGGGUCCUAAAACUCUGUUGUUGGAAAAAAAUGGUCGGCAAAAUAACUGUUGUCGGCGUGACGGUAUCCAACCAAAAAGCCACGGCUAACUACGUGCCAGCAGCCGCGGUAAUACGUAGGUGGCAAGCGUUAUCCGGAUUUAUUGGGCGUAAAGCGAGCGCAGGCGGUUUUUUAAGUCUGAUGUGAAAGCCCUCGGCUUAACCGAGGAAGUGCAUCGGAAACUGGGAAACUUGAGUGCAGAAGAGGACAGUGGAACUCCAUGUGUAGCGGUGAAAUGCGUAAAUAUAUGGAAGAACACCAGUGGCGAAGGCGGCUGUCUGGUCUGUAACUGACGCUGAGGCUCGAAAGCAUGGGUAGCGAACAGGAUUAGAUACCCUGGUAGUCCAUGCCGUAAACGAUGAAUGCUAGGUGUUGGAGGGCUUCCGCCCUUCAGUGCCGCAACUAACGCCAUAAUCAUAUCCGCCUGGUGGAGUACUGACCGCUCAGGUUGAACUCCUAAGCGACUUGUAUGGGGCCCCGCUCUAACGA
rnacentral:rRNA from 2 species